rnacentral:misc_RNA from 1 species
AGCAGCCGCGGUAAUUCCAGCUCCAAUAGCGUAUAUUAAAGUUGUUGCAGUUAAAAAGCUCGUAGUUGAAUUUCGGGAUCAAAGGAUCGGUCAUGCCUUGGUAUGUACUGGUUUUAUUGGUUCUCACCUUCUAAAGAACCAUAAUGUCAUUCAUUUGAUGUUAUGGGGAAUUAGGACUGUUACCUUGAAAAAGUUAGAGUGUUUAAAGCAGGCUUACGCUUGAAUACAUUAGCAUGGAAUAAUGAAAUAGGACAUCAGAUUCUAUUUUGUUGGUUUCUAGGAUCGAUGUAACGAUUAAUAGGGAUAGUUGGGGGCAUUAGUAUUCAAUUGUCAGAGGUGAAAUUCUUGGAUUUAUUGAAGACUAACUACUGCGAAAGCAUUUGCCAAGGAUGUUUUCAUUAAUCAAGAACGAAAGUUAGGGGAUCGAAGACGAUCAGAUACCGUCGUAGUCUUAACCAUAAACUAUGCCGACUAGGGAUCGGAUGAUGUUAAUUUUAUAAUGACUCAUUC